rnacentral:tRNA from 1 species
GUGUGUGUAAUUUAAAAAAAUAUCAAGCUGUGACCAUGACAAUAGAACCUUAUUCUCGCACACC